GCCUAUGGCCAUACCAGACUGAGCGCCCCCAAUCUUAUCCAAUCUCGGAGGUAAACUGUCCCGGGUCUGACUAGUACUUGGAUGGGUGAUGCCCUGGGAAUCCCAGGUGCCAUAGGCA
ensembl:rRNA 5S_rRNA 5S ribosomal RNA